rnacentral:rRNA from 1 species
UACGGGGGGAGCAAGCGUUGUUCGGAUUUACUGGGCGUAAAGGGCGCGUAGGCGGCCAGCACAAGUCAGUUGUGAAAUCUCCGAGCUUAACUCGGAAAGGUCAACUGAUACUGUGCGGCUAGAGUGCGGAAGGGGCAACUGGAAUUCUUGGUGUAGCGGUGAAAUGCGUAGAUAUCGGGAGGAACACCAGUGGCGAAGGCGACUACCUGGCCUGUUCUUGACGCUGAGGCGCGAAAGCUAGGGGAGCAAACGGG